rnacentral:lncRNA from 1 species
GUGACAACCUAGUAGAACUGAAAUGAAUCUCUAAGUAUAGUUAACGUGUGAUUCAGUCCUUCUAUCGUGAGUCCCGACUAGAUGACAGAUUAUGGAUAAAUCGUCAAAUCUCAACAUCAGUCAUAUGAUAGAUUCGAUUAGCUCAACUCCAGUUGUGACUUUUAUAGAAACUCUUUUCCAUCAAUCAUACUAUCGUGGCCAC